CCGGUUCGGCCGGAGUCCUGGAACGCCCCGCAGGUGUAGGUGUGUGUGUGUGCGUGUGUGUCUGCUGAAAAUGUCUGAGCAAAGUGAGACGGUGGCUCUAAAGGUCACGCCGUGUGACCUUUCCCCCUCUCAAGGAUUGGUGCUGACAAGUGCGUGCGCCGUGGGCCGAGGGGGCCACCUGGGUCUCACCUGUCGGUCCGGGCCUCCCCCCUCUCUGGGUCCUGGUUCUGCUGGACUCUGAUUUGUGUGUUCUACUCUGCCGAACUCCAUUUUUCUUGAAUCCCGCUUCGUACAGGACAAUAAAAGGGUGUUUCCACGUCAACCAAUGCCUCGUUUUUGUUUUUUCUCGUCCAUCUCUCUAAGUCCUUGUUCAUCUUUGGUGCAGCGACGUGAUCGGUGAUAAACGUGUCGUCCGUACGAGUCGAAGAGAGUCAAGUCGGGUUUCUUUAUCAAAUCCAAAAAAACCAAUAGCUGAUGUGCGGCAGACUGCUCCACACUUGAAGAGGUAGUAGGAGCGUGUACGGCGGCUUACAGGACAUUUAGUUGAUCACUUGAAUAAUCCAGCAAUAAUCUAAUAAAGUCGCCGUUUAAGAGUGAAAACAUUCUGCGCUGAGUCUGAGCUCCAAGACACGUUUAUCAGCGACUCCCUCCUGCCUGAAGCCCAAGUGGAGAUGUCACACUGAUCACGGGAUUGAUCACGGGAUUGAUCACAGGAUUGAUCACAGGAUUGAUCAGGUGUAUGAUCAGGCCGUGAAUUUCCAAGUCGGAGAAAACGAUGGUAGGAUCCCGGUAGUGUAGAAAAAUCCACGCUUGUGUUUCGGGACGACGUAAAAACUCCAUCAUUCUUAUUAGGACACGUCGAGGACGCCUGCGCUAAAUCCCACCAGAGCUCCAACCAGAGGACGUCAGGUUGCGCCGCCGUUUGAAGUGUUUCCCCCCCAAAGUUGGACGUAACCGCCACCUGCUGUUUGUCAGACCAAACUUCACUGGUCAACACUUGCAUCCUACAUGACAGACUGAUAAAAUGACUGACAAAUGGACCGUAGACAUAAGGAAUUUAACCCCGGUGUCACGAAUAAUUCCGGGCCAGUGGUUCGGAAAGAGCACAAACUUAUUUUUUCCGCAUUUGUCGGCAGUUUCCAGAGCAGGCUGUAGAGUCUUAGGCCUCCGGAUCCGUCUCUGCCUCCCAGGCAGUCAGCGGUUUCUGUUACACCAGGGCCAGUGUCAGGCGUAGGCCCCUAGACGGGCGUCCGGGCGGCACCAGGAUGAUGCUGAUGGCGUGACACGGAACAGGAGGGGAAUAGAGCUACAUUUGAAAUAAUAAAGUAAAUUAGUAAAUGUGCAAGUUAUAGAGAGUCAUAAUAAAAUGAUUAGAAUUGCCAUAAAAUAUUUAAAAAUGGAUAAACGUGACCCCGGGGCUCCAAAAUGUCCAGAGACGGCCCCGCUUCAAAACCCUCACUCUGCCAGGUGCCACUGCAUGUGCUCCGGCCGCCCGCAAGCCUUCGGGCCCGACCUUCAUCUGAAACUACUGGUUUUGAAGGCACAGUUCACUGCUGACCUUCUCCCUCCCCGAGCUCCGGCUCGUGGCCUGAGAUCUGCUGACCAGUCCCCGGGUUCGGGCCGGAGACAGGGCAUCUGAGCCAGACGUCCAAAAUCCUCAGUGUCCCCUUUUAAAACUCUACCAAAGACUUUUAUUUUUAACACCUACAGAUUAGAUUCUAAUUGGUUUUACGUUGGCUUUUGGUUUUGUUUUUCUGGUUUAUUUAUUGUUCCUAAAUACAUAUUUUCUCUUCUUGUGUUUUAUUUGCUCCUGUAAAUGUUCAUUUUCUCAUUGUUUUUACCUUCUCUCAUGUCUGUAAAACACGUUGUGAGCUUGUUUUUGAAACGUGCUGCAUGACGACUGGUUCUUCUUCUUAUUAUUAUUAUAGGAGUAAAGCACCACACGCUAACAAAAG